UUUUAUAGGGGAGCUUGUAUAAGCGGGCUGAGAGUGGGAUGUUGUCCCUUACCCUCAUAACCUGAUUUGGAUAAUUCCAACGUAGGGAUGGUUUAUUU
rnacentral:ncRNA from 1 species